rnacentral:rRNA from 1 species
GACAAACGCUGGCGGCGUGCCUAAUACAUGCAAGUCGAGCGAAGCGGCGGAUGGGUGAGUAACGCGUGGUUAACCUGCCCUUAAGUCUGGGAUACCAUUUGGAAACAGAUGCUAAUACCGGAUACUAAUGGAUGGACCUGCGAUGCAUUAGCUAGUUGGUAAGGUAACGGCUUACCAAGGCGAUGAUGCCUAGCCGAGUUGAGAGACAGAUCGGCCACAUUGGGACUGAGAGACGGCCCAAACUCCUACGAGAGGCAGCAGUAGGGAAUCUUCCACAAUGGACGAAAGUCUGAUGGAGCAACGCCGCGUGAGUGAAGAAGGUGUUCGGAUCGUAAAGUUCUGUUGUUGGUGCAGCGGUAAUCAACCAGAAAGUAAAGGCUAACGACGUGCCAGCAGCCGCGGUAAUAC